AUGACUGAUGCCUGGACAGAUAAGAAGGGUAGGGGAGUAAUGAACUUACUUGUGCACAGUGCUCAUGGUGUUUGCUUUAUUGAUUCAGUGGACUGCUCCAGUGACAAAAAAGAUGGCAAAUACAUAUUUGACAUGGUGGACAAAUGCAUAGAAGAUAUAGGUGAAGAACAUGUUUUUCAAGUGGUCACUAAUAAUGGUAGUGUGAAUGUAUCAGCAGCUAGUAUGCUAAUAGCAAAAAGACCAUCCAUGUUUUGGAAUGGAUGUGUUGCUCACUACUUAGAUCUCAUGCUGGAGGUGUUGGGGAACGUAGUAAUUUCAAAAAAAUCCUACGCACAUGCAAGAUCCGCCGAGGGAGAGUUUCGUCAGCACGACGGCAUGAUGACGAUGAUGAUGAAGUUACCGAUGCAGGGCUUCGCCUAA
rnacentral:rRNA from 1 species